rnacentral:rRNA from 1 species
GACAGAGGAGCCAAGCGUUGUCCGGAUUGACUGGGCGUAAAGCGCACGCAGGCGGGUGCGCGCGGGGGGGGGGAAAUCUGGCCGCUUAACGGCCAGGCGCCAUCCCAUACGGCGCGACUGGAGUGAUGCAGAGGUCGAUGGAAUUGCCGGUGUAGUGGUGAAAUGCGUAGAGAUCGGCAGGAACACCCAGGGGGAAACCAGUCGACUGGGCAUCUACUGACGCUGAGGUGCGAGAGCGUGGGGAGCGAACAGG